rnacentral:rRNA from 1 species
AUUGAACGCUGGCGGAAUGCUUUACACAUGCAAGUCGAACGGCAGCACGGGGCAACCUGGUGGCGAGUGGCGAACGGGUGAGUAAUACAUCGGAAUGUGCCCAAUCGUGGGGGAUAACGUAGCGAAAGUUACGCUAAUACCGCAUACGAUCUACGGAUGAAAGCGGGGGAUCGCAAGACCUCGCGCGAGUGGAGCGGCCGAUGUCAGAUUAGGUAGUUGGUGGGGUAAAGGCUCACCAAGCCAACGAUCUGUAGCUGGUCUGAGAGGACGACCAGCCACACUGGAACUGAGACACGGUCCAGACUCCUACGGGAGGCAGCAGUGGGGAAUUUUGGACAAUGGGCGCAAGCCUGAUCCAGCCAUUCCGCGUGCAGGAUGAAGGCCUUCGGGUU